AUGAAACAAGUCUUAUACAAUGGUACAGUUAGUAUCAACCUAAAUAACUCAGUGGGCCCAAAUUUUCAAUGUGCUAAAUGGGUGCGCCAAGGAGACUCCCACUCUCCAUUUCUGUUUAACAUAGCUGCAGACUAUCUAAAUAAGAUAAUCAGCAAAGUGCAGCAAAAUGGCCUCCUAACUGGACUUGCAUCUGAUCUUGUCCCGAAUGGGGUGGUUGUUUUGCAAUACGUAGAUGACACGAUCAUUUUCCUUGAGCAUGAUGUGGAAAAGGCAUUAAACCUGAAGCUCCUAUUAUGUAUGUUCGAGCUAAUGUCUGGACUGAAGGUGAACUUUCAGAAGAGCGAGAUCCUGACUAUUGGAGGGGACACUGACAUAGAUAGCAAGUAUGCUGAGAUCUUUAACUCUGAGAUUCAACAUUUUCCAAUCAAAUAUCUUGGAAUGCCUGUGAAUUUCACAACUCUUAAAGAUUCGGUGUGGGAGUUUAUUGUAGAUAAAUACCUUAAGAGCUUCGGGUCCUGGAUUGGUAAUGCUGCAUUUAGCAGAGGCAGACUUACUUUGCUCACCUCGGUAUUGUCGCAGCUCUCUUUAUAUCAUAUGUCCAUGUGA
rnacentral:rRNA from 1 species